rnacentral:rRNA from 1 species
UACAGAGACUGCAAGCGUUAUUCGGAUUCACUGGGCGUAAAGGGCGCGUAGGUGGCGCGGGUAGUCAUCGGUGAAAGCUCAGGGCUCAACCCUGAGUCGGCCGGUGAUACUCCCGUGCUUGAGUGUGGUAGAGGCCAAUGGAAUUCCGGGUGUAGCGGUGGAAUGCGUAGAGAUCCGGAAGAACACCGGUGGCGAAGGCGGUUGGCUGGGCCACAACUGACACUGAUGCGCGACAGCGUGGGGAGCAAACAGG